ACUUCUUGGCAACGGGUUCAAUGGCCUGAGAACAUGAACUCACUAGAUCGGCUUUCGAUGCCAAAUACAAGGAACCUAGACCAUCUAGGGUGCGAGCAAGAGAAGGAGGUGAAACAUGCAGAGAAAGCCUAUCCGGGAGAUGCAUGGGAUUGGGAACAUUUGCAUGAACUCAAGCCAUGGUGGGGAAAUGGAGACCUAGUGAAUGGAAGAUAGCACAAACUAGGGGUGCAAUGCAAUGCGGAGAAGGCAUAUGUGGUAGCAGUUCCCAAUGUGCCCAUGCUGAUCAACAUGAUGACAGGCAGCAUGAAUUGAGUGCCCAGUUAAUUGUAAGUUACUCUUCCUACACCUUAAAAUCCUUAUCCUAUACUUACCCGUGA